UCUAAAAGUGUUUCAGUUUUCUCCUAAACUCUUAGUCCCAAAUUUGCAGAACUUUUCAUUUUCAUUUUCCCCAAAAUCUCAACCAACCUUCAAUCUCCAUCUCAGUUUUAUUUCCCCCAAUUGACAUUCCAUCCUCCAUCUCAGGUUCCUCCCCAUUCAUGACCACCCUCCAUCUCAGGUUCCGUAAAAUCGCGCUUUCAUUCAUCUUGAUGCGAAAAACUCCUAAAUUACUCAUCUUGCGAAAAACCCCAAAUCCCUAAAAUCACUUGAAGCCUUACGUGAUCAAAAAGCUUGAACUUCAACUCAAAUCCCUGCGUAUUGCUUUGCACCUUGCUGCCAAACGAGGAGGAGAAAUGAGGUGUCGUGCAACGUCGGCGGCGGAGGAGUCUCCGGUGAAAACGAGGAGGUGGAGGAGGCGUUUCACAUGGACGACACAAUUCCUGGAAGCUCCGACGAGUUCCUGAAACGUGUUUCCUCCCGUGCUUAUGACAUGCACAAGAAUCUUCAUAUGUCUUUUGAUUCUAGUAGCUACGACGGUUACUGGCCAGAACUUGGACAUUUGGCACAACACACUUGAAUUUGGACCUGAUGCCUUGCGGCAUUAUUAUUAUAUCAGUAUCUUUCUUCAACUUCAGAGGCUGCUGAGGAAAAAAUUUCUCUACUUCAAGAGAACGAAACUUUGCUGAAAUUGAAUAAGAAGCUGAAUAAAGAAAAGAAAACCUUGUGGAAGAACAAAGAUUUGACAUAUAUUCAAAUUGGAAAGUUAACUAAAUCCUUGGAUGCAAUGCAGAAAGAUAUCAGAGACAAAGAGAAUUAGUGGAUUAAGCACAGUUCAGAUACUUGCAGAUGCUUUGCCUAAAAUUGUUCCUUAUGUCUUGAUCAACCAUCGUGAAGUUUUGUUUUAGUGUUUUAUUAUUUGGAUGUUUAGAUUCUUCACUAGUUGCAACUAUCUCUACUAGAAUCAUGACUGACACAAAGGUGUUUUAAUCUCUUUAAGUGUAGUAGUUUUUGUUCACUAUACCUCAAAUACUAAUUAACUUGGCCAAUUUGAAAACGUGUUGCAGUUUAGCAUUGGCUUUUUAGGAUAAACAUGCUAUUUGGAAUGCAUAUACACUCUUUUUAUGUCUCA